rnacentral:rRNA from 1 species
UACGUAGGGUGCGAGCGUUAAUCGGAAUUACUGGGCGUAAAGCGUGCGCAGGCGGUUUGUUAAGACAGAUGUGAAAUCCCCGGGCUUAACCUGGGAACUGCAUUUGUGACUGGCAAGCUAGAGUAUGGCAGAGGGGGGUAGAAUUCCACGUGUAGCAGUGAAAUGCGUAGAGAUGUGGAGGAAUACCGAUGGCGAAGGCAGCCCCCUGGGCCAAUACUGACGCUCAUGCACGAAAGGCGUGGGGAGCAAAC